rnacentral:rRNA from 1 species
AAUAGAUACCCAGGUAGUCCAUGCCGUAAACGUUGGGAACUAGAUGUAGGGCCUGUUCCACGGGUUCUGUGUCGUAGCUAACGCAUUAAGUUCCCCGCCUGGGGAGUACGGCCGCAAGGCUAAAACUCAAAGGAAUUGACGGGGGCCCGCACAAGCGGCGGAGCAUGCGGAUUAAUUCGAUGCAACGCGAAGAACCUUACCAAGGCUUGACAUAUAGCAGAACACCGUAGAAAUACGGGACUCUUUGGACACUGUUAUACAGGUGGUGCAUGGUUGUCGUCAGCUCGUGUCGUGAGAUGUUCGGUUAAGUCCGGCAACGAGCGCAACCCUCGUCCUAUGUUGCCAGCACGUUAUGGUGGGAACUCAUGGAUACUGCCGUGGUCAACACGGAGGAAGGUGGGGAUGACGUCAAAUCAUCAUGCCCCUUAUGUCUUGGGCUUCACGCAUGCUACAAUGGCCGAUACAAUGGGCUGCGAUACCGCGAGGUGGAGCGAAUCCCAAAAAGUCGGUCUCAGUUCGGAUUGGGGUCUGC